GAAGGUGUAUCUAGAAAGACAAAUUAGAGCUUGAAAAGUAAAGCAUUUCAUUUACAUUGAAAAGUAUAUUGUGUAAUUCAAUUUAAUUUGAUAAUAAAAAUUUAUUAAUUUUUUUUUGUUUUAAAUAAAUUUUAAUUUAAUAAAAUUAAUUUUAAUUUAAUUUUUUUUUUGUAUAGAAUAUAGAUUAAAUAAUUUAUAUAAUAGUUAAUUAGUAUUGUAAAAGAAUAUUGAAAUAUUUGAAAAAGUUUUAAAUUAAAAGUAGAUUUUGUAUAUUGUACCUUGUGUAUCAGGGUUUAUUAAUUAAAAGUUAAAGAUUUAAUUUUUCUCGAAUUUAAGAGAGUUAAUUUAUUAUUUAAUUUUUUAUUUCAAAAAAAUUUAAAAUAAUAAAUUAGAAAUGAAAUGUUAUUCGUUCUUAAAUAUAUCUAGUUUUUUAAGAAAUAAAUUAAAUUUAGAUUAUUAAUAAAUAAUUAUUUAUUUAAAUAAUAAUAAUAAAUAAAAUUAUUAUUAGUAAUUAAUAUUUUAAGGGAUAAGCUUUAAAAUAAAUUUUAUAAUAAUUUUUUAAUUUAAAAAUUAUAGGUUUAGAAAUAGUCAUUAAUUAUAAAAAUGUUAUAAUUUAUUUUAAAUUAAAAAUAAUUUUUAUUAAUUUAAGUUUUUAUUAAAAUAAUUUUUAAAAUAAUAUAAAAAUUAUAAUAAUGAUAAAAUUAGUAUAUAUAAUUGUUUUAAUAAAAAAAAAUUGUUAGAUUGAAUUAAGGAAUUCGGCAAAUAAAUACUCGCCUGUUUAACAAAAACAUGUCUUUUUGAAUAUAAUUUAAAGUCUAAUCUGCCCACUGAAAAAUUUUAAAGGGCCGCGGUAUU
rnacentral:rRNA from 1 species